GAUGAACGCUGGCGGCGUGCCUAAUACAUGCAAGUCGAGCGAACGGACGAUAAGCUUGCUUCUCUGAUGUUAGCGGCGGACGGGUGAGUAACACGUGGAUCACCUACCUAUAAGACGGGGAUAACUUCGGGAAACCGUAUCUAAUACCAGAUAAUAUUUUGAACCGCAUGGUUCAAAAGUGAAAGACGGCCUUGCGGUCACUUAUAGAUGGAUCCGCGCUGCAUUAGCUAGUUGGUAAGGUAACGGCUUACCAAGGCAACGAUGCAUAGCCGACCUGAGGGGGUGAUCGGCCACACUGGAACUGAGACACGGUCCAGACUCUUACGGAGGGCAGCAGUAGGUAAUCUUCCGCAAUGGGCGAAAGCCUGACGGAGCAACGCAGCGUGGGUGAUGAAGGUCUUCGGAUCGUAAAACGCUGUUAUUAGGGAAGAACAUAUGUGUAAGUAACUGUGCACAUCUUGAGGGAACCUAAUCAGAAAGCCCCGGUUAACUACGU
rnacentral:rRNA from 1 species